CCCAGGUCUUCCAAGUCAUUGAAACUCACAUCCAGAGCCUUGAGGUGAAUGUUGGACUGCAGGGUAGUGGAUAAAGCGUCACAGGAGACAAAGAGGUUUCAAUCAUCACCAAUAAGACAGACUUCUACAUCUGUAUCUUCACCUACAAACUCUUCCCUGACUUGGAAAACCCCGUCUCUGAACUCUUGAUGGGGAAACAAACUCAGAGAGAGAGACCGGCUCGGUCAAAGACAGCCAGUCACCUGAAAGAGCAGAAUAAUCAGAGCUGGAAAGACCUUAGAGAUCAAGCAGCUGACUUGGAGACAGGAGGCCUGAGUUCAGAUCAGCCUCAGUUCAAACCAAUGCAAGUCUAGCCUCAUGCUAGCUGUGGAACUUCUGUCUGCCUCAGGCUCCCCAUCUGUAAAAUGGGGAUAAUAAAAGCAUCUACUUCAAAGGGUCAUUGUGAGAUAUAAAUGAGAUGAUAAUUGUACAUGCCUUAGCACAGUGAUGGGCACUCAGUGGUAUCUUAAUGUUAUCUGUCACCAUCAUUAGCAUUAUUGUUAUUAGAAAUCAUCUAGUCUAACUUCUUUGUUUUCUAAAAUUGAGGCCCAGGGUGGUGAGAUAUAGACGAAUCUGAACCCAGAAAGAGGAAUGGUAAGAGCCUGUUUCUCAGGGCUGUCCCGAGGAACAGAUGACAUCUUAUUUCUCUCUUGGUAGGUUUAUGGACAGAUAGUUUAUGUACAGGAUUAUAUAUGCACACACACGUCUACGUGUGUUUUGUAUAUGAGUAUAUACACACCUGUGUGUUUAUAUAGCUACACAUUCACACAGACUAUAUUAUAUAUAGGAUAUUCACAUGUUUAUAUAUACACUGUGUUUAUAUAUGUAUACAUCUACACAGACUAUACUAUAUAUAGGAUAUUUAUAUGUGGCUUGGACAUUCACACCUGUGUGUUUAUAUAUCUACACAUCCACAUGGACUAUAUUAUAUAGGAUAUUUACAUGUGGCUUGGAUAUAUACACCUGUGUGUUUAUAUAUGUUCACACCCACAUGGACUAUACUAUAUAUGGGAUAUUUACAUGGGGCUUGCAUAUAUGUGUGUAUACAUUAUAGGUAAUUUUUUUUUUCCAAUCCAAGCUUCCCGAUCCAGAUCAGGAAGGCCUAGGUUAAUCUUCCAGCACUGCCGCUUACUUGCUAAAUCAUGUGACCUCACGGGGUCACUAAGGGAGCCCACUGGAUUUGGGGAUUUCUAAGGCUUCCUCCAUUUCUGGGCUCCCUGAAGUCCCAGCCCAGGCCCUGACCCUGCUUCAUUAAGGGAACUUGAGGAAGUCUGUCUAGACCUGGGUCUGGACAAUGGAGGUAUUGCACCAGAUGCCUUUUGUGAUCUAGCUCUGACAUUCUGGGAUUUCGUGGCCCAGCCUACCCCUCCAUUUCGCAGACGAGAAGCUGAGGACUC